UACGUAGGGUGCAAGCGUUAAUCGGAAUUACUGGGCGUAAAGCGUGCGUAGACGGUUAUUUAAGUCAGGUGUGAAAGCCCGGGCUCAACCUGGGAAUUGCAUUUGAGACUGAAUAGCUAGGGUGCGGAAGAGGGAAGCGGAAUUUCCGGUGUAGCGGUGAAAUGCGUAGAUAUCGGAAGGAACACCAGUGGCGAAAGCGGCUUCCUGGUCCAGCACCGACGUUCAGGCACGAAAGCGUGGGGAGCAAACAGG
rnacentral:rRNA from 1 species